GAUGAACGCUGGCGGCGUGCCUAAUACAUGCAAGUCGAGCGAACGGACGAGAAGCUUGCUUUUCUGAUGUUAGCGGCGGACGGGUGAGUAACACGUGGAUAACCUACCUCUAAGACUGGGAUAACUUCGGGAAACCGGAGCUAAUACCGGAUAAUAUUUUGAACCGCAUGGUUCAAAAGUGAAAGACGCUCUUGCUGUCACUUAUAGAUGGAUCCGCGCUGCAUUAGCUAGUUGAUAAGGUAACGGCUUACCCAGGCAACGAUGCAUAGCCAACCUGUGAGGGUGAUCGCACACACUGGAACGGAGACACGGUACAGACUCCUACGGGAGGCAGCAGUAGGGAAUCUUCCGCAAUGGGCGAAAGCCUGACGGAGCAACGCCGAGUCAGUGAUGAAGGUCUUCGGAUCGUAAAACUCUGUUAUUAGGGAAGAACAUAUGUGUAAGUAACUGUGCACAUCUUGACGGUACCUAAUCAGAAAGCCACGGCUAACUACGUG
rnacentral:rRNA from 1 species